rnacentral:rRNA from 1 species
UACGAAGGGGGCUAGCGUUGUUCGGAAUCACUGGGCGUAAAGGGCGCGUAGGCGGCCGAUCAAGUCGGGGGUGAAAGCCUGUGGCUCAACCACAGAAUUGCCUUCGAUACUGUUUGGCUUGAGACCGGAAGAGGUUAGUGGAACUGCGAGUGUAGAGGUGAAAUUCGUAGAUAUUCGCAAGAACACCAGUGGCGAAGGCGGCUCACUGGCCCGAUACUGACGCUGAGGCACGGAAAGCGUGGGGAGCAAACAGG